rnacentral:rRNA from 1 species
CACACUCUGUUUGGACAUCCACUCACACCUGUGCACCUUCUGUAGUUCUGUGGCUUGGGGGACUCUGUCCUACUGCUGCGGUUCUACAUCUUUACACACACACUGUAAUAAAGUCUCAUGGAAUGUAUGUGGCGUUUAACGCAAUACAAUACAACUUUCAGCAACGGAUCUCUUGGCUCUCNCAUCGAUGAAGAACGCAGCGAAAUGCGAUAAGUAAUGUGAAUUGCAGAAUUCAGUGAAUCAUCGAAUCUUUGAACGCACCUUGCGCCCUUUGGCUAUUCCGAAGGGCAUGCCUGUUUGAGUAUCGUGAACACCUCAACUCUCAUGGUUCGCCAUGAUGAGCUUGGACUUUGGGGGUUUUGCUGGCCUGCAGCCGGCUCCUCUCAAAUGAAUCAGCUUGCCAGUGUUUGGUGGCAUCACAGGUGUGAUAACUAUCUACGCUUGUGGUUUC